AAAAAAUAUUACAAAAAAGUGCUUUAUCAGUCAUUUCACUCGCCACGCAUUUUACUCAGCAGAAUCAACUGCCAGUGGACGUGCAAUAUUAUUAAAUUCCCUUUUCUUUCUUCUUCCCUUCAGCCGAAGGAACUGCUGCAGCCUGUUGGCACGUCCUUCCUGGCUCCCAGAUGCUCUCCAGCAGAUAGGCACUCUUCCAAUCAGAGGCUUGGGAGACAUUGACUAACUGGUGCUUCGGGCCUUCUCUGGUGUCAUAUGACCUACAUUGAUGUUACAAAAAAAGUGGAUGUCCUUAACCACAGCAUCUACUGCAAGCGCAGCAUUCCCAUUGAAGUGUAAAUGACGCCAAGGGGCAACUCAUGGCUACACAUCUUAAAGCACAAGCACGUUGACUUCACUUCCCACUGGGAAGUCUUUGAGAAUGUCCACCACCUGCGCGUGGCUCAGCGUCUGCACAUUCUGCCUGUUGAUCUCCUUGAUGACGUCUCCCUUUUGAAGGCCACGGCACCACUGGGCGUCCAGGAUCAUCUUCACCUUCUGGCCCAGCGGACAGUCGGCAAUAGCGAAGCCGAAGCCUCCCGGCCCCUUGACCAGUGGCACGCUAACCAUCUCUGGCUGCAGCAUUGAGGCGGCUGACUCCCCCAGUUCACCCUGCCUCCCGUUGGGCAAGGUGGCGACCACCGGGCGACCACUGGAGUCCGUGGUGACGUAGUGAAGGUCCUGGGAGGAGCCGUGGAGGACGUCACCCUUGACGAGUAGCGGCUGUCCGUUGAUGAGCGGCACAGCAGUCACCACCUCACCGCCGUGUAAAGCCUGCUG